rnacentral:rRNA from 1 species
GACGAACGCUGGCGGCGUGCUUAACACAUGCAAGUCGAACGGAAAGGCCCUGCUUUUGUGGGGUGCUCGAGUGGCGAACGGGUGAGUAACACGUGAGUAACCUGUCCUUGACUUUGGGAUAACUUCAGGAAACUGGGGCUAAUACCGGAUAGGAGCUCCUGCUGCAUGGUGGGGGUUGGAAAGUUUCGGCGGUUGGGGAUGGACUCGCGGCUGAUCAGCUUGUUGGUGGGGUAGUGGCUUACCAAGGCUUUGACGGGUAGCCGGCCUGAGAGGGUGACCGGCCACAUUGGGAUUGAGAUACGGCCCAGACUCCUACGGGAGGCAGCGGUGGGGAAUAUUGCACAGUGGGCGGAAGCCUGAUGCAGCAACGCCGCGUGCGGGAUGACGGCCUUCGGGUUGUAAACCGCUUUCGCCUGUGACGAAGCGUGAGUGACGGUAAUGGGUAAAGAAGCACCGGCUAACUACGUG